GUCAUGACAGGAGGCUGAUCUCCUGAAGCAUGGCUACUAAGUCUGGGUCAGGUGUGUCUGGGGCUUUGUGACACUCUCUUUUUUUUUCUGUUUGUCCUGGACACUGGCUGGAGGAAUCAGGCCCAUAAGCAGGAAGCAAAGGAUCAACUCGGAGAGAGGGAAGAGAGCUGCCUCCAGACACAGUGGGCGCUCCACCUCCUCCAGGCAUCAGCAAUACAAGACCUCAGCUGAUGUCAGAUUUCCAGAUGAAAACAUCUGUACAACAUCUGCAAGACACUGAAGACCAGCAGCUGCUAGACAGAGGUUUCUUAGGACUCAUCUGCCUGAAGGACCAACACUGCCAGCAUCAGCCACCUGUGUGUGUUUGGAAAGGAGCUAAUGGGACUCUAUCACCACCUGCUGGCACACUGUGGAACUGCAACCCGACUGUAUUAGGCACUGCAAACUAUUCCCAAUAAGGAACAGUUGGGGUGAGGGGAGCUGUGGAAAAUUCUGUAGAAAUAAACAUUUUUACACCUAA